rnacentral:rRNA from 1 species
GCCUUUGGGUGGGGAAUAACUCAGGGAAACUUGAGCUAAUACCGCAUAAUGCAGCGGCUCGACAUCGAGACAGUUGUUAAAGCGGGGGAUCGCAAGACCUCGCGCCUAAAGAGAAGCCUGCGGCAGAUUAGCUAGUUGGUAAGGUAAUGGCUUACCAAGGCGACGAUCUGUAACCGGCCUGAGAGGGCGGUCGGUCACACUGACACUGACAUACGGGUCAG